rnacentral:rRNA from 1 species
GGUUUGAUCCUGGCUCAGAUUGAACGCUGGCGGGAUGCUUUACAUGCAAGUCCCGAACGGCAGCACGGACUUCGGUCUGGUGGCGAGUGGCGAACGGGUGAGUAAUGUAUCGGAACGUGCCUAGUAGCGGGGGAUAACUACGCGAAAGCGUAUGUACACAUACGCCCUUCGGGGAAAGCGGGGGGACCUUCGGGCCUCGCACUAGUAAGAGCGGCCGAUAUCGGAUUAGCUAGUUGGUGGGGGUAACGGCUCACCAAGGCGACGAUCCGUAGCUGGUUUGGGGACGACCAGCCACACUGGGACUGAGACACGGCCCAGACUCCUACGGGAGGCAGCAGUGGGGAAUUUUGGACAAUAGGGGAAACCUGAUCCAGCCAUCCCGCGUGUGCGAUGAAGGCCUUCGGAGUUUAGCAAAAAGCACUUUUGGCGGGAAAGAAACGGCACGGGAUAAUACCCCGUGCAACUGACAGAAACACCUGCAAGAAUAAGCACCGGCUAACUACGUGCCAGCAACCCGCGGUAAUACGUAGGGUGCAAGCGUUAAUCGGAAUUACUGGGCGUAAAGCGUGCGCAGGCGGUUCCGGAAGAAGAUGUGAAAUCCCAGAGCUUAACUUUGGAACUGCAUUUUUAACUACCGAGCUAGAGGUGUGUCAGAGGAGGUGGAAUUCCGCGUGUAGCAGUGAAAUGCGUAGAUAUGCGGAGGAACACCGAUGGCGAAGGCAGCCUCCUGGGAUAACACUGACGCGCUCAUGCACACGAAGCGUGGGAGCAAACAGGAUUAGAUACCCUGGUAGUCCGCCUAAACGAUGUCAACUAGCUGUUGGGGCCUUCGGGCCUUGGGCCCAGCGCAACUAACGCGUGAGUUGACCGCCUGGGGAGUACGGUCGCAAGAUUAAAACUCAAAAUUGACGGGGACCCGCACAAGCACGGUCAGAUGAUGUGGAUUAAUUCGAUGCAACGCGAAAAACCUUACCUACCCUUGACAUGUCUAGGUCGAAGAGAUUUGGGAGUGCUCGCAAAAGAACCGGAACACAGGUGCUGCAUGGCUGUCGUCAGCUCGUGUCGUGAGAUGUUGGGUUAAGUCCCGCAACGAGCGCAACCCUUGUCAUUAGUUGCUACGAAAGGGCACUCUAAUGAGACUGCCGGUGGCAAACCGGAGGAAGGUGGGGAUGACGUCAAGUCCUCAUGGCCCUUAUGGUGGGGCUUCACACACGUCAUACAAUGGUCGGGUUGGAGGGGUCGCCAACCCGCGAGGGGAGCCAAUCCCGAAACCCGAUCGUAGUCGGAUCGCAGUCUGCAACUCGACUGCGUGAAGUCGGAAUCGCUAGUAAUCGCGGAUCAGCAUGUCGCGGUGAAUACGUUCCGGGUCUUGUACACACCGCCCGUCACACCAUGGGAGUGGGUUUUACCAGAAGUAGUUAGCCUAACCGUAAGGAGGGCGAUUACCACGGUAGGAUUCGCGAGCUGGGGUGAAGUCGUAACAAGGUAG